CCUACGGGAGGCAGCAGUGGGGAAUAUUGCACAAUGGGGGAAACCCUGAUGCAGCGACGCCGCGUGAGUGAAGAAGUAUUUCGGUACGUAAAGCUCUAUCAGCAGGGAAGAAAAUGACGGUACCUGACUAAGAAGCACCGGCUAACUACGUGCCAGCAGCCGCGGUAAUACGUAGGGGGCAAGCGUUAUCCGGAUUUACUGGGUGUAAAGGGAGCGUAGACGGCAGCGCAAGUCUGGAGUGAAAUCCCAUGGCUUAACCAUGGAAGUGCUUUGGAAACUGGGCAGCUAGAGUGCAGGAGAGGUAAGCGGAAUGCCUAGUGUAGCGGUGAAAUGCGUAGAUAUUAGGAGGAACACCAGUGGCGAAGGCGGCUUACUGGACUGUAACUGACGUUGAGGCUCGAAAGCGUGGGGAGCAAACAGGAUUAGAUACCCCGGUAGUC
rnacentral:rRNA from 1 species